GGCGGACGGGUGAGUAACACGUGGGUAACCUGCCUGUAAGACUGGGAUAACUCCGGGAAACCGGAGCUAAUACCGGAUAGUUCCUUGAACCGCAUGGUUCAAGGAUGAAAGACGGUUUCGGCUGUCACUUACAGAUGGACCCGCGGCGCAUUAGCUAGUUGGUGGGGUAAUGGCUCACCAAGGCGACGAUGCGUAGCCGACCUGAGAGGGUGAUCGGCCACACUGGGACUGAGACACGGCCCAGACUCCUACGGGAGGCAGCAGUAGGGAAUCUUCCGCAAUGGACGAAAGUCUGACGGAGCAACGCCGCGUGAGUGAUGAAGGUUUUCGGAUCGUAAAGCUCUGUUGUUAGGGAAGAACAAGUGCGAGAGUAACUGCUCGCACCUUGACGGUACCUAACCAGAAAGCCACGGCUAACUACGUGCCAGCAGCCGCGGUAAUACGUAGGUGGCAAGCGUUGUCCGGAAUUAUUGGGCGUAAAGGGCUCGCAGGCGGUUUCUUAAGUCUGAUGUGAAAGCCCCCGGCUCAACCGGGGAGGGUCAUUGGAAACUGGGAAACUUGAGUGCAGAAGAGGAGAGUGGAAUUUCCACGUGUAGCGGUGAAAUGCGUAGAGAUGUGGAGGAACACCAGUGGCGAAGGCGACUCUCUGGUCUGUAACUGACGCUGAGGAGCGAAAGCGUGGGGAGCGAACAGGAUUAGAUACCCUGGUAGUCCACGCCGUAAACGAUGAGUGCUAAGUGUUAGGGGGUUUCCGCCCCUUAGUGCUGCAGCUAACGCAUUAAGCACUCCGCCUGGGGAGUACGGUCGCAAGACUGAAACUCAAAGGAAAUUGACGGGGGCCCGCACAAGCGGUGGAGCAUGUGGUUUAAUUCGAAGCAACGCGAAGAACCUUACCAGGUCUUGACAUCCUCUGACAACCCUAGAGAUAGGGCUUUCCCUUCGGGGACAGAGUGACAGGUGGUGCAUGGUUGUCGUCAGCUCGUGUCGUGAGAUGUUGGGUUAAGUCCCGCAACGAGCGCAACCCUUGAUCUUAGUUGCCAGCAUUCAGUUGGGCACUCUAAGGUGACUGCCGGUGACAAACCGGAGGAAGGUGGGGAUGACGUCAAAUCAUCAUGCCCCUUAUGACCUGGGCUACACACGUGCUACAAUGGACAGAACAAAGGGCUGCAAGACCGCAAGGUUUAGCCAAUCCCAUAAAUCUGUUCUCAGUUCGGAUCGCAGUCUGCAACUCGACUGCGUGAAGCUGGAAUCGCUAGUAAUCGCGGAUCAGCAUGCCGCGGUGAAUACGUUCCCUGGCCUUGUACACACCGCCCGUCACACCACGAGAGUUUGCAACA
rnacentral:rRNA from 1 species